UGUCGGGUAAGUUCCGACCUGCACGAAUGGCGUAACGAUGGCCACACUGUCUCCACCAGAGACUCAGUGAAAUUGAAAUUGCGGUUAAGAUGCCGUAUACCCGCGGCUAGACGGAAAGACCCCGUGAACCUUUACUACAGCUUCACAUUGGGUUUGGGUAUAGGAUGUGUAGGAUAGGUGGGAGACUACGAAGUUGUCACGCUAGUGAUGGUGGAGUCGUCCUUGAAAUACCACCCUUCCUAUACUUAGAUUCUAACUCUGUAAAGAGGACAUUGUGUGGUGGGUAGUUUGACUGGGGUGGUCGCCUCCUAAAAAGUAACGGAGGCUCGCAAAGGUACCCUCAGCAUGGUUGGUAAUCAUGCGUAGAGCGUAUAAGUACAAGGGUGCUUGACUGAGAGAGGGACGCCUCGAACAGGUGCGAAAGCAGGCUUAAGUGAUCCGGUGGUUCCGCAUGGAAGGGCCAUCGCUCAAAGGAUAAAAGGUACUCCGGGGAUAACAGGCUGAUCUCCCCCAAGAGCUCAUAUCGACGGGGAGGUUUGGCACCUCGAUGUCGGCUCGUCACAUCCUG
rnacentral:rRNA from 1 species